GUGGGCAGGGUCCCAAAGGCAACAAGGGGUGUGCCAUCAGCAGAUUGCUCAAGGGGCACAGGGAUAGCACCUAACCCAGACAACAACAGCUGACCUGACUUAGGUCUCCUGGCACCAUAGCUGUCUCCAGGUUUCUUGGUGAUGCAGAUGGUCAGAGCCACCAAAGAAGAGGAAAGGCUUCCACACACAGUAGUCUCCCUUGAUAAUGUUGUCAGUUCAUCCUCUCACAUGCAGCAUUUCUGGCAGGGCAGUAGAGAGAGACUGACCACCAUCAGUGAUUCCAGCCACCAUCUCAGUGUCUUUCCAGAACAGUUCAUUCUACUCCAAGAAUACACCAACCUACAGAUCAUCUUGGGCUGGAGGUCAUCUGUCUUAGCUGUACCAUCCAGGUCUGCUCUCCAACUCCAGUCUCUUUUCAAAGACCCUACUCAUAAAAGCUUAUGACUCUUCGCUUAUCCCUGAAGAUGUUCAGGAGGACUCCUCUGUACCUGGCUACAGGACACCAAAAAGAAAAUGAGGCUGAGGCCCACACUGGAUACAAAGAAACUCAGCUGAGUUGAGUUGUCAAGGUUAGGUCGCAGAGAGCAUGGCCAGGCACCAUGCUGGACCAUAUACCUGCUUGAUUUCCAUGUCUAGUGUGAACAAGGCUCAGUGUCACAGCAGCUGUCUGGACAGCAAGGAGGAAGAUUGCUGAAUGGCCCUGCCUGGCCUAUGGCACCCUGGUCCUUGAGGGCAUGCUGGUGGGAUGGGGGCAAGCUGUGCCUGCCCUCAGCAUAACUGGGCACACUCAGUGGGGACACUGUGAGAGCCAGAGGUGGACAUGUGGGCUGGGAAGGCCCACAGGGAGAGCCCCAGGGUCUGUGGGGGGUUGACCUGGGGAGAGAGGGAGACAGUUUUCCCAUGCAUCCAGAGGAGACUAUGUAGAGUUGGCUGGAUUUGUUUACAAUUUUUUCAUCCCACCUUUUCCAGAAGAUGAAAUAUUCUUUACCUGAAAGUCCAUAGUUCAAAUUUGUGUUGCGGUCUAAAGUCAAAGCUCCUUCCAUGUACCUGCAGUGUACACUUUAAGGACAAAGACAAGGCUGUUGCAUUUUUGAGUCAGGUUCCUGUCACAGCAAACGGGAUUGGGGUGCAGGUUUUGCACAAUCUGAGUUUUGCGUACCUUUCCUGGCACUUCUGUUUUUCAGGAAAAAAGCAUUGGGAGCUUCGGGGGGCACCUACAUCAUCAACUGGUAUCAGUUCCCACUAUUUCAGUGGUUAACAAGUUCAAGGGGUUUUUACCAUUUCUUCUCAACAGUGGCCUACCUGCAGAGAACAGACACCAAGGCACAUCCAUAUGGACAAGUGGCUGAAAGAGAGCAUUUUUUUAACAGCAAGUAGCAGAAAACCUCCAUCUCAGCCAGACUGCUCUGUCUUCUCCAAGAAGUUCUUGGAUUUUAUUUGGUGAGGUUUCUAACGCUGACAAUGAUAAGAAUCUGUUACUUUUGACAGGCCAUAGCCAGAUCAAGGCUUUUGAUUAGUAUCCCUUUGAAAAGGACUUACCUUAAGAUCAGCCUUCCAGAGAAAAAAAUCAGGCCUCUGCUUCUAAAGUAUUUCCGCUAGAUGCCUGUUUUAUCUCUUAUUUGGCUGAGGUGUAUGGCUUGGUGUCCAUGUGGCUGCUCUCUCAUUCUGUGUGCUCCACCAAGAGAAACAAGAUCUUACCACACAGCACUCACUAGCUCCAACACAACUGUUUUGGUUCCCAGACAGUCUUAGCCUGUCAUCACGAGGUCCUGCUAGACCUUUGGAAAUGCUGUCCUGAGAUAGAAGCUACUUUAAACUCUUUAGGUCAUCACAUCUCUUUCUGUUCCCUUGGAGUAGUGUCUGAAUGAUCUGAACGAUGCACUGUCCUCCAUAAGAUAACAGAUGGACAGCACAGAUCUCCCCAUUUCUCCAAAGUUCCAAAGGCAAGAAAAGACUUCCCCUGUCAUUUAUUAUCUGAGAAGAUGGUAAUGUGUCAUGCUAAAAAAAUUGCCAGAGGAAACAAUUCAGGCCACUCUUCUGUGGGCUGGAGCUUGCUUCCCAGUGACCCCUGGUGAGACACCUCCCUUCGUGACAUAUCUCACUGAAGUUAAGGUCAGAAGGAACUAUUAGAUCAUCAAAUUCGGACUGAUGCAUAUCGAAGGCAUUUAAAUUGCACCCAGGAAUGUCUUACUUGUUACACAUUAAGUUUUCAGGUGAUUAAACUACACCAUUGUCUGGUGCUUAACAAGAUUGACUCCUCCCUCUACCCCCAGCAGAAAUACUAUUUCUUUCUCACCGGGACCAACAAGCCUGGAGGUCAAAGACCCCAUGGCUGCAGGCAUACUGCAAAACAAAGCAGGGCCAGAUACAUACUGCAAGAUAAAGCAGGGUCAAAGUGGAACAGUUUAUUCAUGUCCACACCACAUGGUGCUUGGAUUUGUACCUCUCCUGACCACUACAGUUUCUGGGCUCCUACGACACAAUUUUGAGUUCAGCAUGACUGAAAUAAUAUAAGUGCUGUGUUGAAACCCACCAGGGGCAUAGUUUGAUAACCUGACAUGACCUGAGUGUGCUGCAUGCCUUCGGGAAUCACCUGAGGGUACAAAGUCUGCUGGUAUAUUGUUGGAGGACUGUGUAGGGUACAGAAGCCAAACCUGGCACAGUUUUGUCCAUAAUGCCUAUUGUGAAUGGUCCUUGUAGUCUGCUGUCUUCCAGACUGGACCCAGUUAUCAUCUCAUACUGGGUUAACUGGGUCAGAUCAAAACCAUGCCACAUACUGACAGUCAUUACCGUGCUUCAGGUUGCUGUGUCUCCCUGUUAUUGAGGAGCAUACCAUAGCCUCUAACUGUGUCAAGCAGCAGUUCCAAUUUAGGAAGAAAGUGAUUCCAGCUCAGAUUAAGAACCAGUGCAGAAAUGGGACCUAGAGACCCAAACCCAGUAAGAUCUGGCAUGUGUUUUCACCCUCAACUUCCAAAUCCAUGAAGAAGUUACAUGCCUUCCUGGCAGACAUAUAUACAAGCUUUUUGUUAACUGAAGAUGGAUUUUAUUUGAACAGUAAGCUUUCUGAAAAAAAAUGAAAACUGGAUAGUUCCAGAAUAAUUCUGUUUUUUCCCCUUAAAAGCACAAAUGCUGAAUGAAGGACUAACCUACUUAAAUAUCACAGGAGAUUCCUUGUGUCCUGGUUCCAGCUGGGAUAGUUAUUUUUCUUUCUAGUAGCUGGCAUAGUGCUGUGUUUUGCAUUUAACAUGAGAAUAAUGUUGAUAACAAACUGAUGUUUUAGUUGCUGCUAAGUAGAGCUUACACUAGUCAAGGACUUUUCAGCUUCCCGUGCUCUGCCGGGUGCACAAGAAGCUGGGAGGAGAGGGGGCACAGCCAGGACAGCUGACCCAAACUGGCCAAAGGUAUAUUCUAUAUCAUAGGACAUCACACUCAGUAUAUAAACUGGGGGGAGUUGGCCGGGUGGCAGCAAUUGUGGCUCGGGGACUGCGGUGGUGAGCAGUUGUGUAACUUGUCUAUUUUUCCCCAGGUUUUGGUUCUCUCUCUUUUGUUGUUUUCCUAUUAAUUACAUUAUUAUUAUUAUUAUUACUAUUACUACUACUACCACCACCACCACCACUACUACUACUAUUACUACUACUAUACUGUUCUUAUCGCAACCCACAAGUUUUCUUACUUUUCCCCUUCUGAUUCUCUCCCCCAUCCCACAGGGGUGGGGGGAGUGAGCGAGCGGCUGUGUGGUGCUUAGUUGCUGGCUAGGGAUAAACCACAACACCUUGACUCUGUAACAAACUGCUAGACAAGGAACUGGCUGCAUGUAGAAUCCCCUGGGAUGCCAGAAAAGGCUGGUUUCAGUCAAGUUAUACUGACACAAAAACUGAAGGAAGAGAGUCAUUGAUCAAGCAAAAACAUAGAGGCAGUAUUUUAUUUGUUUCUGUUUCCUCAUGCUCUUUUCACUAUGGCUUUGCCACAGCCAUUAAAAUUACAUGACUUUUACAAAUAAUCUCUCUUUUUUAAUAUGUAUAAUAUCUCUACAGAAUCAUAGAGUGGGUGAUGGUGGAAGGGACCUCUGAGGUCAUCUUGUCCAAAGCCCUGCUCAAGCAGGGCCACCUACAGCUGGUUGCCCAGGACUGUGACUAGAUCAUGUCUAGACAUCAUAACAUAGAAUCAUAGAAUCAUUGAGGCUGCCAAGCCCACCACUAAACCAUAUCCUCAAGCACCACGUCUACCCUUCUUUUAAAUACCCCCAGGGAUGGAGACUCAACCACCUCCAUAGAUAUUUCCUCCUGACACUUGUGCAUGACUUUUAAUUGUAAUUUCAUAAUUGGCUCUUUGUAAGAGCCAACUUGUCCUUUUCAUCAUCGCCAGCCAUGUUCUUUCAGUGUCUUUAAGUCUAGUAACUCCAGCAGUGCUGAUCUUGGGAGUCUGUGUACUCUGUGAAUCCAUGUUAGAGACCCCAAACAGAGUAUUUACCCAUUUGUGGAGCAUUAUUUGCUUCUUUAACUUAUGUUCAUAAAAAUAUUUUCAAUUCUUCUGUCUGGGGAAACAAUGUUGGAAAUACAGACUAAGUCUACUGUGGUCUAGACUGGUCUUCCUGAUCUGCCAGUUCCUUGAAAAAACUGUUCACAAGCCGUGAAUUGCCUUUUGGGGUUCUUGGCAAUAUAGUCUACCAUACUGCUUGGUUUUAUUUUUCUGAUCAUUUUUAAAGACCUGCUUUUGCAUUAAAUUAAUUGUUUAGCUCAGAUGGGCUCAUAAUUUUAUUAUGUUUUCAUUCUUCUUAACACCAUCCUGAAUUUUAAAGGUUCCACUUAACUGAGUUUAACAAAGCCAAAGAAGCAGAUAAAGAAAACUCCAUACUUGCAGUUUAUUGAGUUCCUUUCCCACUAUUUUUGUAGUUUUGAUAUGUAGUUUUGAUUUUGAUUGUGCUUUAUCUGAAAUGCAAGAAAAGAUGCAGAAGUCAUUAUGUAAUUGAUGCCAGUAACAAAAUGUCCAUUGGUUUCAAUAGGCCCAGGAUUCAUAUGAAGUAAUGUGAUAGUCAUUCAUUUGUAUUUCAUUAUCCACUGCAAACCAUGGAAUCACAAACCUGAGGUCCUGUUGUUUUAGAUGCUGUACAAGUGCAAAAGAUCUCUUCACUUUCAGUCUUUCUCUCUUAUACAUAAGCUCAAAUCUACUUAAUAGAGAACUUGAUGUUGCAUGACUCAGAGCUGUAAGUGACAGCCAGGCCCAUGUUUACAGCCAGGUAAAUUCUUUGCUGUGAGGAAACUAAGAUUAUAUUAACAAGUCCCACAAGUGCAUUCAAGGUAAAAACUGGGUUCCAGUUCCAGUUAUUUUGGGGCCUGUGUGUAACAAAAAAAUAUGCUGCACUCUUUGCAUCUUACUGUGGAUCUGCCCAGAGUGCUGCAGUGCCAAAGGCAGACGACUGAGAUGCCUCAGGUGCAAAAGGGAGAAAGGCCAUGUUGGCUCAGUGGUCCCCGAAGGUGAAGAAGCAGGCGGACAGGCCACCUGGUGUGCUUCGUGCCUUACAGAAGUACCCAGGCAGGCAUCAGUGCCACACAAAGCCUGCAACCAUUUUGUCCAGCCAUGGUCUCUCUGGAAGAAGGAAAGGCCACUCCAGAAAAGGCCUGCUCUAAAAGUAAAUUUGAAAUUUAAAACAGGUCACAAGCCUUCAUUUUCCAGAAAAUUGUUCAAAUUAACUAACGAUAGAAGGACAAACUGAGCCUUUGAAUUUCUGAAAGCUGUGAGGAGGGCAUUUCCUUGCAGAGCUGAGUCUUAGGGCACUUCACAUAGAGAACAGUAAGGAAGCCCUCUCAUACAGUGUUUGAUGUGAGGGUAGAUUAAAUCUUUACUAACGAGUCAACAGGGGUUUCAUGAGAAGACUGUAUGUUGAAUUAAUAUUUUCCCAGCUUCACUAUCCAUGCUUCCUGGACAGCAGCACUCAAAUUUGAGGUCUUGUAAUUAAAUCUGAGCUGCCAAUACUGUGGAAAUUGCCUUCUCGUGUUAUUGCUCAGCCUCUUUGAUCCGGUGUCUGUCACAACAGCCAUCUGGUGCAGUUAGAGAGAAAAUGCUCCGCAUCUUCUUGACAUAGGAUAUGGACAGCCCUGUACUAACAUAUUAAUAUGUUGAUGUUUGUCCUUUUUUAAUCCUGCUUUUAAUAUUAAAGUGCAAUUUUCAUUUAAUACAAAUGAGAACCUAGUGAAGCACAUAAACGUCAACUAAAAGUGAACUUUCAGUCCAUACUGAAAGUUCAGGACAAUGAAAAUUUCAUUAGGUUGACAGGAGAUGUGUCAGAUCUCUAAGAAGCCUGCAUACAUCACAUAUAUCUGAGCCAGCAAACCGACAAAAAAUAAUUUAGGCAGGAAGUCACUUGCUGCCUCUGCAUCUGGGAAGCUUGUGAAACGUACCCUUAGCUGUCAUAGCCAUUUUGGCAUCAGGAAAUUUCUCCUUCCUACUGCUGAAAUCCUUUUUUUAUAUCAGAGAGAUCAGUCACUGCAGACACAUCAAUAUAGCGGUGACUGCUGAUCUGAUUGUUUACAGACUGUGUUUGUUCAUCGCCUCUGGCUUUUACACGAAAAUUUUGAACAUUUUCUUUGUUUUCUGUACUUCUGGAAAGAAAAGUUCCUUGCAGUCUCUCCUGAUCCUUCUGGGCCAUUUAUGAAGGAGUUCUUCGGACAUAGUUGGUCUUUCACAGUUAGGUCUGUCCCACAAGGAAAAAGGUGCUGAGACUUUUAGGUUAAAAAUUUAAUGAUUAACAAAAAGAUUCACAACUAACAAAAUACCUUUAAUCAUUUCUGGUUUCAGCAGGUGGUUUUCACAUCUGCUGUCACAUUUAGGAGUUAAUGAUAAAGAAAGCAUUUUAAAGCACCUUUUACAGAAUCUGAAAGACCUCACUUGCGCUGUUACACCAGUUCAAAUACAGUUGAUACCCAUCUCAUUUAAAACUUAGGUCAAUGUAUGGAAAUAUGUAACUAUUCUCUGACUGUCACAGAACAAGAGGGAAUUGUCCAAGAAAGAGAGAUGCAAUAUAUGACUUUGUUUGACCUCCCCCAACCUCCAACACUUUGCUUCUGUCAGGUCUGAUUUCAAAGCAGUUUUAAAGCAAUUUUAUUUAAAUGAACAUCGCAACUUAAUGCGACACACUUUUAACUAGGAAAAAUAAAACCAGCUAAGGGUGUCUUUUAGGAUGUUAAAAAAAAAGAUCAUAGCACAAAAAGAUUAAAUCUUUACCAGCAGUGUUAACAACAAUUAUUUUUUAUUGAAAUGUUUUAUUGAAAUUUUUAUUGAAAUGUGCUGUGAGAGUUCUUCAUUUGACAUAAAUUUGAGAAGACACUUAAAAAAGGUAAACCAAAACAAAGAAAAUAAUUUCAAUCAUUAAAAAUAGGGACAACAACCCCACCUUUUUGCAUUAACUUUCACUAAAGCCAUAACCAUUUUGGUGUUCAUAAAAGGCAGUUAAAAUGAACCAGGAGAGAAGUUAUUACCAACCAGCUCUACUUAUUAAUGUGUAUUGUAUAAACUCUCCUGUUUCUUAUUGCUCUCAUCCUUGCUUAUUCUUCAUCCUCUUCCCCACUUUCUUUCCCAGAGGGAGUUUGCAUUGACUCACAGGUUUCUAUACAUUUUCUAUACAUUUGAAGCAAAUGUAUAGAAACAGGGAUAAUGAUGUAUUGUUAACAAUUCAGGAAGUAUUAACUAACUAACAAUAGCCUGGAAGAAAGGGAAGAGAAAUGAAAUGAGAUCUGCUUGUUGGUAGAAUUAGGAUUCAUAGGUCAAAGCCAGUCAGAAGGUCUUGACGUCAUUACGAUGUACGGUUGCAGGAGGUUCAGGAUUGUAUAGGUAGAAAAAAAGGUUUUCCCCAAGCAGUUGUUUCCUGAAACUACUAUGUAGCCUUUAUAUUAAUCCUGGGAAAAAGGAGUGGUUGCUUUUUGUUUCUUCAGUGUUUGUAUUUGCUCUUUGUGUCAUUUACUAUGUGUAAGAGGAAGGAAAUUCAAGACAUACUGUGGUGGAAAUGCCCUUAGGAAAGUAGCGGAGAUGGGUAUAGACCUGAGUCUUGCUCUACCUGUUCACCCCAGCUCUGUUACUCUUCUGUUAGCUCCAAAAAACCCACUAUCAUAUUUAUAUUAAGACAUGGCAUACUUUAACUCUCUGGAUUACUUCAUUUGCUUAGCAGGCUUCGUCAGGAGCACUCUGAUAGUUUGUCUUUAAAUUGAAAAUUUCUGAAAAUAUGUUCAUUGCACUAAACUUUCACUGAGAACCAAAAUAAAAUUAUGAUGGUAAUUCUCUCUGCCUUGCCACCAGAAGGCAGACUGCAGCACAAUGACUGCAGUGCUCUCUAGGAUACAGGAAACCACCAAAGUGGUUUCUUGCUAGUAUAAGAAAGACAGGAGAUAAGAAAGUAUAUUAAUGGAGAGAAUUUCAUUCUGGGGAGAAUUCUGUGGCUAAGGCUUGUACAAUGCUCUAAUCUCUUAACCUGGCCUUUCUGCCAGCAAUGUUGCAGUAAAGCAUUCUUGACAUUAUCAUUCUGAGUAAUAGGUUCAGCAACUGAAGUUGAGGGUGAAGAAUUUUAUUAUUUCUGCAGAUAGACUUUCACACUUUGAUGAUGUUCUGUUCUGUGUCAGAUGUGCACCAAUGGGCCCUUUGCUGACUGCAGUGUUUCUGUAAGUGCAUUUUAAAUGCAGAUAGAAAGCAAAAAGCAGUGUGCCUUUCUUUCUAAAUCAUUUUAGAAGGCCAACAGUAUCCUGGGCUGCAUUAAAAGGAGCGUGGCCAGCAGGUCAGGGGAGUUUAUCCUCCCCCUCUACUCUGCCCUAGUGAGACCACAUCUGGAGUGCUGUGUCCAGUUCUGGGGCCCCCAGUUUAAGAAGGACAGGGAACUGCUUGAGCAAGUCCAGCGGAGACCUACCAAGAUGAUCAGGGGAGUGGAGCAUCUCCCUUAUGAGGAAAGGCUGAGAGACCUGGGUUUGUUCAGCCUGGAGAAGAGAAGACACAGGGGGGAUUUCAUCAAUACCUAUAAAUAUCUAAAGGGUGGGUGUCAGGAUGAUGGGACUAGGCUCUUUUCAUUAGUGCCCAGUGACAGGCCAAGGGGCAAUGGGCCCAAGGUGGAACACGGGAAGUUCCACCUCAAUAUGAGAAAAAGAUCUUCUUUCCUGUGCGGGUGCCAGAGCAGGGGCACAGGCUGCCCAGGGAGGCUGUGGAUUCCCUUCCCUGGAGACAUUCAAAACCCUGCCUGCACGCGUUCCUGUGCCCCCUGCUCUGGGUGUGCCUGCUCAAGCAGGCGGGUUGGAUGAGAUGAUCUCCAGAGGUCCCUGCCAACCCCUACUGUAUGUGAUUCUGUGACUUAUUUGGUACUUUAUUGCUACAUAUCUUCAGGAAUACACUCUUCUCAUUUGAACAUUGAAACCUAUUAAAAACUCAACAAGUAGCAAUGUGAGUGGUUUCCCCAAUAUUUAGUGUAGCUUCUGCCUGAGAAACUGUGACCAACACCUGGCAUUUACAAGGAGUUAUUCCACAACUAAGAAGCAUUUAAUUUUAUAUAUAUUUUUUAAGGUGGACUGCGAGGGUCUACACCAAAUUAUAUUCUUUGCACAGUGUUGACAUGCUACAUUGCUGAAUCUGCUUUUAAAAGAUUGUGAUUUGAGUUGACGACAGCUCUUACCCAAGAAUCCAUGGAUCUGAAUCCAGUUAAAAGGGAUAAAAAUGACUGCUCCAGUUUAUGCUAGCUCUUGAUAACAACUAUGGCCUGUUCUACUAUCUGAGAACUGACUGCACUAGCGAAGCAUUUUUCCAUUCCUUUGCCCAGAAGCUGGAGUCAGGGAAAAAGAACUGGAGCUCUCAGGAAGGAAAUUCCUAUCCUGAAGCUAGACUAUAGAGCCAGGCAAAGAAUCCCACACACUACUGCUGUGCUGGUCCCUAAAGCAGUCUGCUGUUGCCACGUGAUUUACUGAAUUAUCUGUUUACAUUUGUAUUUUUCCCCCACUCCCCAAGUUCUCCUACAGCUGCAAACACCAUAGCAGCCCCAUUCAAGGAUGCUUCCUCAGUCAUAGUGGGGCAGUACUGCUACAGCAGGAACAAAAGAUUUAUUAACAAUUGCACUGUGACCAACAAAGUACCUGAACUGUCAGGAAUUGGCAUAAAUCAGAAUAUAAAUUAUUUUUCCUGUCAGAAGAGGCCUUGGAGCAAUAGAAUAUGAACAGGAUCUGAAAAAAGAAACUAGGUGUUAGCAGAGAAAGGAGUACAUCUUGCACAGGAAGAUUUUUGGCAGGAGAGACAAAAAAAUAACGAAGUGAGCUUGGUCCUCAGCCAGACAAAAGUUCACGAGAGGAACUAAGCUGUGCUUACAGCAGCCUGAUGAAGGGGGGGGACCUGGUUUUUAUGGGCUUCAAGAAAGGAGUCCGAAGUGAAGGGUGAACACAAAGGACAUUGCAUUUUGGAAAUGGGCCAUUUCUAAAUGAUCUUUACCUUCUUGUUCCUAUCCUGGGAAUAUAAAACAAUAGAAUGUUAAAAACUCCCUCCAAAGACUAUCUCUCUGCAUCUGCUUUUUUACAUUGGUCAUCUAUAAACCCGAGAUGAUCAGUAAAUCAGAAGAUUCAAGCUUUAAAGGGGACUGUGUCCAUCUGACAGCUUACUACUAGACCCAGGGCUAGGUAAUUGGAUCAUGGACUUUUGUCUCUCAGGUAGCAGCUGAAGGCAGGACAGCUAUUUGAUAAGACAGGCACUCACAGCUUGGGAGGCCUGAAACUUUCUGAGGAGUUGGCCGUAGUACCUUCUAAAGGAGUAUCCAGCACGGGGGCUUACCCGGAAUAUUGAAAUGGUAAUCCAGAGAUCCAAUGUAACAGUAAUCUCUUUGCAGUGUUGUCAGUGACUUGGAGAAAUGUUUCACUACACCAUAAUGCUGAAAAGUAUAGUUAACUUUGUUCCUAAAUCCUUUUCAUUUCUGUCUUGAUCUUCUUGGAACAGAAUGAAGUUGAGGUAACAGGCAGGAAAUUGUAAGGCUCAACCAAUAGUUUGAAUUCUGCAGAUGAAAACAGAAGUUAUAAUUUCUGGAAUAAAUUGUAAGAUUUAUAUAAUAGAAUAGAUAUAAAUGCAUUAUGUAACAUAAUAUAGCAGUGUAUUAUAUACUUCAAUAUUGAUUGGACUUCCAAAAAUUAUUGCAAUUAUAUAUUAAAAUAUACAAGGCAUAUAAUUUAUUGUCAUAUACAAAAUGUAAUGAUGUAGUAAGUCAUAUAAAAUUAUCAGGCUAAAGACUGACAUACUAAAAGUUGUACCCAGCUUCCAUAUAUUGUAGGCUAUUCCACAAGGUGAUCUUUUCAGACCUUAAUUGAUAAGAACUCAAUGAGAAUGAAUUAGAUAUUUCAUUAAUCAGUAUUUUGCAGAACCCAAAUGAAAAGUUUACUAUCCACUAUUUAACAUGAUCUUGAUGAUAACUGUGGCCUAAAACCAGCCAGGGUACAGUUGGAAACUGCUCAGAUUGCAUCAUUCUAGUGUGAAAACAUUGAUGCUGAUGAUGCUUUUCAUAUAUGAGAAGUCAAAGACUUGAGUCCUUGAGUUUCUGUCCUUACAGGCAGAUUGUCUUUGCAUCCUCCACAAGCUUCUCAGCAAAAGUCCUCAUAUCUUCCACCAAAGCUGAAGGAAAAUGCUUACUUUUAGCCUAGAAAUAGGAGAUGGAGGUGGGCUGCGAUCUACAUCUGUUGUUCUCAUGGGUAAGUAUAAACAAGGAAUCACUUUUUAUCAAGCAGAAGCUCAACCAUAUACUCAAAUUUGAGUAUAUGGCUGUUAACUUCAAAGGGAAGAACUACAUAUAAAAGAAAGUCAUAACACUGAGAAAAAAGCUUAUGGUUUUAUUGCCUAUAUACUGUGGCCUAGCUAUUUUAAAAAAUCCCUCUUUUUGUUUGUGUUUCAAUGUAUAAAUGUUGUCCUUUUUCUUUUUUCUUUCUGUGAGCUCUGCUACAUGAAUGUUUUAUUGGGCAGUAGCUAGUAUGAAGUUUUUUUUGUUUUUAUGUUAUGGCAAAAUCUGUUGAUCCCACAACAAACAACAAUUAACUGUACACCUAAUGUUUUAACUUGUAAUUUAGAAUUUUCCAUCUACUAAUAUCUGUGUUUGGAAAGCUGUUACCAAUGUGUUAGGAAAACAAUGGAUAGAAUAAAAG